CCACGAUGACGAGUUAAGAUGCUUUCUUCUGAGCGUGAAUCGGGUGGUGAGCGACGAGCGAGAUUGUCUGCUCUUUGUCAUUGAUGAACGUUCCUGCUGUGCUUUGCAGUCUGGAAGAAGAAAGCAUGUUCAGAGUGG
rnacentral:snoRNA from 1 species